rnacentral:rRNA from 1 species
CCUACGGGAGGCAGCCGUGAGGAAUAUUGGUCAAUGGGCGGAAGCCUGAACCAGCCAAGUAGCGUGCAGGAUGACGGCCCUCCGGGUUGUAAACUGUUUUUAUACGGGACUAACGCGCCUUACGUGUAGGGCUUUGCAUGUACCGUAUGAAUCAGGAACGGCUAAUUCCGGGCCAGCAGCCGCGGUAAUACGGAAGGUCCGGGCGUUAUCCGGAUUGAUUGGGUUUAACGGGAGCGUAGGCCGCAGGGCAAGCGUGCUGUGAAAUGUCCGGGCUCAACCCGGGCCUUGCAGCGCGAACUGGCGUGCUUGAGUCCGCGGAAGGCAGGCGGAAUUCGUCGUGUAGCGGUGAAAUGCUUAGAUAUGACGAAGAACCCCGAUUGCGAAGGCAGCUUGCUGCAGCGGAACUGACGCUGAUGCUCGAAAGCGCGGGUAUCGAACAGGAUUAGAUACCCUUGUAGUC